rnacentral:rRNA from 1 species
UAGGGAAUCUUCCGCAAUGGGCGAAAGCCUGACGGAGCAACGCCGCGUGAGUGAUGAAGGUCUUCGGAUCGUAAAACUCUGUUAUUAGGGAAGAACAAAUGUGUAAGUAACUAUGCACAUCUUGACGGUACCUAAUCAGAAAGCCACGGCUAACUACGUGCCAGCAGCCGCGGUAAUACGUAGGUGGCAAGCGUUAUCCGGAAUUAUUGGGCGUAAAGCGCGCGUAGGCGGUUUUUUAAGUCUGAUGUGAAAGCCCACGGCUCAACCGUGGAGGGUCAUUGGAAACUGGAAAACUUGAGUGCAGAAGAGGAAAGUGGAAUUCCAUGUGUAGCGGUGAAAUGCGCAGAGAUAUGGAGGAACACCAGUGGCGAAGGCGACUUUCUGGUCUGUAACUGACGCUGAUGUGCGAAAGCGUGGGAAUCAAACAGG